AGUGUGAUGGAUAUCUGCAGAAUUCGCCCUUAGGCCUAACACAUGCAAGUCGAACGGAAAGGCCCUUUCGGGGGUACUCGAGUGGCGAACGGGUGAGUAACACGUGGGUGAUCUGCCCUGCACUUUGGGAUAAGCCUGGGAAACUGGGUCUAAUACCGAAUACACCUCAUGGGAUGCAUGUUUUGUGGGGGAAAGCUUUUGCGGUGUGGGAUGGGCCCGCGGCCUAUCAGCUUGUUGGUGAGGUUACGGCUCACCAAGGCGACGACGGGUAGCCGGCCUGAGAGGGUGUCCGGCCACACUGGGACUGAGAUACGGCCCAGACUCCUACGGGAGGCAGCAGUGGGGAAUAUUGCACAAUGGGCGGAAGCCUGAUGCAGCGACGCCGCGUGAGGGAUGACGGCCUUCGGGUUGUAAACCUCUUUCAGCAGGGAAGAAGCGGCAAGUGUACGGUACCUGCAGAA
rnacentral:rRNA from 1 species